GAUGAACGCUAGCGGCAGGCUUAAUACAUGCAAGUCAAGGGGGUAGCAAUACAACCGGCGCACGGGUGAGUAACGCGUACACAACAUACCAUAUACUGGGGUAUAGCUUUGGGAAACUGAAGGUAAUCCCCCAUAACAUUGCGAGAGGGCAUCUGAUUGCAAUUAAAGUUUCGGCGGUAUAUGAUUGGUGUGCGUUUGAUUAGCUAGUUGGUAGGGUAACGGCCUACCAAGGCGACGAUCAAUAGCUGGCGUGAGAGCGCGACCAGCCACACUGGAACUGAGACACGGUCCAGACUCCUACGGGAGGCAGCAGUAGGGAAUAUUGGACAAUGGAGGAAACUCUGAUCCAGCCAUGCCGCGUGAUAGAUGAAGGCCCUCUGGGUUGUAAAUAUCUUUUAUCUGGGAAGAAACAAUCUUAUUCUUAAGAUCUUGACGGUACCAGAGGAAUAAGCACCGGCUAACUCCGUGCCAGCCGCCGCGGUAACACCAGAC
rnacentral:rRNA from 1 species